rfam:Thelohanellus kitauei scaffold05054, whole genome shotgun sequence.
GUCGGCAUGGCCAAGUGGUAAGGCGCCAGUCUAGUAAACUGGAGAUCGUCGGUUCGAACCCGACUGUCGACA